rnacentral:rRNA from 1 species
GGAUUGGAGUCUGCAACCCGACUCCAUGAAGCUGGAUUCGCUAGUAAUCGCGCAUCAGCCACGGCGCGGUGAAUACGUUCCCGGGCCUUGUACACACCGCCCGUCAAGCCAUGGAAGCCGGGAGUGCCUGAAGUGCGUGACCGCAAGGAGCGUCCUAAGGCAAUACCGGUGACUGGGGCUAAGUCGUAACAAGGUACC